rnacentral:tRNA from 1 species
AUCAAGUUAGUUUAUUAAAAACUUUAGGAUGUGGGCCUAAAAAUGAAAAGCUUUUUCACUUGAUA